AUACCUGCCCGGCUUUAAUAUUAAGCCAGAACUGGAGAUUACAAAAACGUCUGCUUGAAACUGCAUUUUAACUAUAUUCAUGACUCUCUGCAACAGAACGACAAGGUUUGAUGCAUCAAAGAAGUGUCAUUUAUUAAGACCAAUUCUAAGUAGUAGAUAAUCUAAGUGGUAAAUAAAUUUCAGAAUAUGAUUUUCAUUAUCUCAGUCUUUACAGUCGGAUUUAAAUAGUUUAUUCUGGCAUGACAUCGAAAUUCUGUCUUAAGUCUUAUUCAAUUUUCACUUAAUAAUUUUUGGCCCAAAACCAGACGACGAAUUUCCUCAUAAAUUUCAUCACACGUGGGUCAACGACUUUUAUUUCUUUGACAUAUCCCUAUAUUACAUUGUAUCUCCCAACGCUUUACACUGACGUUUGCUACUAUCUUUCUUAGCAUCUUGAGUCGCGAUUCCCUUUCAUUGUAAGCGAGACUGAAAAAGUCAUGAAGGUACGCUUUGAACUUUUACGUCUAACAGACAACUGAAGGAUAUAGAUCCACCUGCAUUUUAAGUUUAAUGAUGAUUUUCGCUAUCAGAAUAAAUAAUCGCUAUGCAUCAAAGCACUAACGAUUACGUCAUGCAGACCUGUUGUUAUCGAAGACCUAUUACCGUAAUUACUCCACGGCUGUAGUUCAGUGCAACACAGCGACAAUACGUAUUCGUCGCGAUAUGGGGUUGGAUCGGGAUCAUUAUUUCUCAAUAAGGGUGACGCGUUUUUUUUUAAGGCUCACAGGUUUUUGGAUAGUAGAAAGUAAGAGGGAUGAAAUGGUGAUUGACUUUGCAUUAAUAUAUACAAGAGUUGCUGUGCUACUUGCAGCGGUGAUUUUAUCUUUGGAUCUUUAUCACUUGUCAGAAGAUCUGUAUGACAUGGUGUUUACUAUCUGUAAUUUGAUGACAGUUUUGACAGUUGUUUUUAAACUGUUGAUUAUGACAUGGCACAGAAAUUCCGUCGCGAAUCUCAUUUCGUUCUCGCUAAAUGAAUUCUGGCACAAAGAUUACAAGUCCACUGAGAUGGAUAUUUUGAAAAAUUGCGAACGGCAGUGCAUCGUUUUAAUAUUGGCGUUUAUAAUGUCAGCGUGCGGGACAGGUUGCAGUUACAUGAUGAGGCCAAUUAUCGAAAACAUUGGAAAAAAUGAAACCGACAGAAUUCAUCCGAUUAAAGUGUGGUUGGACUUGCCAUUAGCGACAACGCCAUAUUUUGAAAUCAUGUACUUUGUCGAGAUUUUGAUAACGACUCAAGUCGCAAUUUGUUUCUUCUGCUUUGACAUAUUUCUCUGUGUUUUAAACAUACAUGUCAGUGGUCAACUUGAAAUACUUCAAUCCAGACUGGAAUGUAUAUACGACGAAAAUCGUAUCGAGAGUCCAAAAAUGUACAGUGACGAAAAGUUGAAAAAUUUGGAAAAAUCCAGCAUAGCUUACAAUAAAUUGUGUAACUGUAUUAAAUACCAUGAAAUGGUGAUUUGGUACGUUCAACAGAUUGAGCGUAUUUUUACAAUCAUUAUACUUGGUCAAAUGUUGACAUCGAGUUUACUCACGUGUCUUGUCGGAUUUCAAUUACUGUCCGGCAUAGUUGAAAUUACCAAACGUUAUAUUUUCAUCGCCUAUAUGUGUGGAUGCAUUGUUCAAUUAAUUACGUACACGUUCACGUGCAACGAAAUAACAGUGGCUAGUUUACAAUUAGCGGAUGUAGCAUUUCACGCAGAUUGGUACGUUACGCCUUACGAUAAAGGUGGACGAAGUAUAAGGCACGGAAUAAAAUUUCUUGUGCAACGUACACAGCGUCCAUUAUGUCUAACUGCCGGAGGAUUUUUUCCAGUAUCAUUGGAUUCCUUUACAAAGGUGAUAAUUUUGGAAAAUAUCAUGAUUGCAAUGUGGCUCCACUAUGUAGCGUCGCCAAUGGCGUAACGAAUGAAUUUCUACUACCAGUAAAACUGUAAUAAUUUUGCGAAACAAAUUCGAUUUUAUUUCGUUUUCGAUUUGCAUAGGGUACGCAGUGAAACUGCUUGUCCUUAAAGCUUACUUCCUUAUUGAUAAGAAAACAGUUUACAAAAAUCAAAAGGGUUGCAGCAAACAUUAUUUAUGGUAGUCAUGAUUUUCUUCUUUUCUGCAUUUCAAACCCGUUUGGUAAGUCUUAUCAAUAUCAUAUAAUUGGAAAUUAUCACUCCCAUGCAUAUUUACUUCAGCAUUGCAUGAAAUUAGUAUAUCAUAAUAUCUGAAUUGUUAUUAAUUAAUAGUGAAGAGUAAUCUAUCAUAGAGAAAUAAAGCAAUGUCUCUAUAAUAAGUACAAACACUGUUAUCCAAAAUAUUUAUCGUAACACUGAAAAGGAUAAAGGGGUCUAGUGGGACCCCAGUCUCUUUUAUGCCACGCAUCUUUUGUAAGGUUAAAGAAGAAUUAACGAGACCGUUAGCAAUCUGUUACAUAUUUAUACAUUUGGUCUUCGAAAAAAAUGUCAAAAAUUCGGUUAAUAUAUGAAAAUAUUAUUGCGCCACCUACUUUUGGCAUUUUAGUAUUCUAAUCGACAUCAGUCUAAUUAAAUUACUCAUCAACCUAUAGAUACAAUUGCGUGUGCGCGCAUACUUAUUUAUAUGCAGCCUCUUUUCAGUAAUGGCGGACUUAUAAGUAAGUAUAUAUUAUAUUUCAAAGAAUUAUGCCUGAUAAAGUACUUUAUUAAUACACAGAUAACACAAGUCUCCAGUGUCUAUAAAAAAUUAGAAUUUGUUUUUCUUAUGCGGUUUAGAAAAUCAGAAAGCCCUGUAAAUAUACUACAAGUACAAUAGCAGUUUCUAUUGUACUGAAUUAUGUACAGUUGAAUGAGACAGUAAUGACUACAUAAUAGUAAGUGAAUCAUAUUCUAUUAUUCGUCAAAUUAUCUUUCAAUUUAGUCAUUAUGCAGUUUUUACAGCACCCUUUCUAAAUAUAAUGUGUCAUAAUAUCACAAGAUACGUUAAUAGGAAUUUUUAAGUUUCAUUCGUCAAUAGAAAUUAUAAAAAGAAUUAUGUAGAGUGCUGUUUUUCCGUCUUCCUCUUUUUUUCACAGCUGUCUUAGUACAUACGUUCUCUCAUCUACCUAUUAUUCCGAUACUAUAGAUAUAUUAUUCAAAACGCAUAAGGGAAAAGCGUCUACGACGGCAUAGCAAAUAACAUGGCAAAAGUACCUUCUACCCACACCUAAUCGAGAACCCGAUAUUACCUCUAUGAGGAAUAACAAUAAUGAAGGGAUUUUUCAAAAACAAUGACCAAAGUUGUAAUUCUUGGCUUCUGAGUAAUAUAUAAGGUUGAGAAUUGCGGAUGUUAACCGACUUGCAUAAUUUCACCUUUUAUUAGUACUAAUUAUAUGACUGUGUGUAAAGUGAUAUUAAAACUUAUUUAUUUAAAUGUAUUAUUGAAUUUUAUAUCAAGGAUAACAGUUUAUUUGUGCAGUUUAGAUGCUAUUGGAACAGACAUUACAGAGAGCUCGUUGCCAUUCAAAGUAAUAGUAUACGACCUGCCACUUCAAAAUACAUUAUGUUACAUAAUAGCACUUUCCAUUGAGGUAAUUUAAAACACUAUUAUAGUAGUAACAAAAAUAUAUUAAAAUACUAUAUAUAAAAUUUGAAUAUCAACAUAAGAUACGUACCAAACUUCAAUACUGGAAUUUACUGCCCAAAAUAAAAAAUUGUAUAGUCAAUCUUGAGAUUGACUUGAGUUUCAUCUUUUAAAGGGUUUUUCCAAAAACAAUGACGAAGUUGUAAUUCUUGGCUUAUUAUUUACAUAGUUACCAAUAUAUUAUACAAUAUAAACAAUACAUAAUAAUUCAUGUAUUGUUUUCCAAAUAAUUAAAACUGCCAGCACAGGCAUUUGCACUCUAACAUUUGGAUCGUACUUUUACUACACAUUAAUAUUUAUGUCUGGCCAGUUUAAAAUCUUACAGCGGAGGUUGGAAAAUGUAUGUAAGAUGCAAUUAAAAAGUGAAACUAUAAAGUCAGCAUAUAAUUCUUAUGAAGACAAGGCUGUUUAGGAAAAGCUCAAAAACUGUAUUAAGCGACAUCAGUUACUAUAAUAAUUUGGUACAUAAGAAAACUGGAAGGUUAAUUUUGCUACACACUGCUACUGCUUGUAUUAAGCAUUGUCAUAAAACUUUGCUUCUCUGGCUUUCAACUGGUUUUAGUAAAUACAAUAAAUUUUCAUCAAGCACUCAACUAUUAUUUUUACUAUAAAACUAGUUUGAGUUCCAAUAACGAAUAUUCCCCAAUCUCCUCCACAAAGCACAGACAAAUAACAUAAUAUCUAAUUGAAAUCCAGUAAAAAUUCCACAGCUGCAAUUUCUCCUCUUCACCAAACUAAGUUAAUAAGUAGAGCGUUCCCCUACUACCGUGCACACCAUU